rnacentral:rRNA from 1 species
CGAAUGCUGACAUAAGUAACGAUAAAGCGGGUGAAAAGCCCGCUCGCCGGAAGACCAAGGGUUCCUGUCCAACGUUAAUCGGGGCAGGGUGAGUCGACCCCUAAGGCGAGGCCGAAAGGCGUAGUCGAUGGGAAACAGGUUAAUAUUCCUGUACUUGGUGUUACUGCGAAGGGGGGACGGAGAAGGCUAUGUUGGCCGGGCGACGGUUGUCCCGGUUUAAGCGUGUAGGCUGGUUUUCCAGGCAAAUCCGGAAAAUCAAGGCUGAGGCGUGAUGACGAGGCACUACGGUGCUGAAGCAACAAAUGCCCUGCUUCCAGGAAAAGCCUCUAAGCAUCAGGUAACAUCAAAUCGUACCCCAAACCGACACAGGUGGUCAGGUAGAGAAUACCAAGGCGCUUGAGAGAACUCGGGUGAAGGAACUAGGCAAAAUGGUGCCGUAACUUCGGGAGAAGGCACGCUGAUAUGUAGGUGAGGUCCCUCGCGGAUGGAGCUGAAAUCAGUCGAAGAUACCAGCUGGCUGCAACUGUUUAUUAAAAACACAGCACUGUGCAAACACGAAAGUGGACGUAU